GGAGGGAUGGCCGAGUGGUCGAAGGCGGCGGUCUUGAAAACCGUUGAGCGGCAACGUUCCGGGGGUUCGAAUCCCUCUCCCUCCG
rnacentral:tRNA from 1 species